rnacentral:lncRNA from 1 species
GCCAUGUGACGUAACACCAGGAAGCCCCGAGGUUGGGAAGCCACCGCCUGGAGAAUGCACAUGGCCGGCCUGGCAGAGAACCCACGCUUCCAGAGGGGCCUUCAUUGUCCCAACACUGAAGCCCAACUGAAGGCCAAGCUCACGUGGACUCUGGCGGAAGAAUUUAGUGACGUCCAAUUUCGAGUAACCGAACUUGUCUGGGAAACAAUUUGGGGUAGAAUUAUUGCAAGAUGCCUGAGGCUACUCUUGCCCUGCUAAGGCGAGGGGAAAGACGGAAGCAUGAAUUGACUAAGAUAGUAGUAAAAGACCAGCUGGGAGCUACUGGCCAUCAUCUCUGUCACCAAGGGAGAAAGCCAACAGAGAGAGGAAGAGCUGUGAAAGGGAAAGAGACAGCGAGUCUGGACCCUGGACUGUUC